rnacentral:lncRNA from 1 species
CAGAGCUGCACACGAUACUCCCCAAGUGACUCAACAUCCCCUGCGUCUGACUGCGUGUAGAUUGGAGAUGCUUUGUGUGUUUGAGAUGCUUUAGGGGGGCACCCAGCAGUGCCCCCAUCUUCUUUUCUUCUGCCCCUCAGAUAUUCCCUACUUUAUGUGAAAUAAACUGGCAGAUUUUCAACCCGGAUUCAUCUUUCACAGUCCCUGCCUUGGCUGAUGGUAAACUCUCUGCAUUGCCGACCCUGCUUCAACACAGACAAUUCCUCUUCCGCCUUUAAGAUUUAGUGCGUGCCCUCCGUUCUCAGAUACCUCGGUGUGUCCUACCCGCAGAUAAGAAUCCGGCUCAGAGACCUUUCUGAAGGGGCUGCAACACCCCCGGGAAAUUGUCCCAGGAGUGUGACUCGGGAAGACGAGUACAUGAAGCAUCUUCUGCUUUACUGGAAGAGUCAGUGGCAACUAGGACAUGUCCAUGUGGGCAGCGACACACUGAUUUUGGCAGGGAAUCUUGAUGCACCAAAUAACCGAAGAACUGGGGUUCUUUCCGAAGUCUAGGUAAUAUUUCCAGAAAUGCCAGCCACUUACAUCUUUAGCCUCAAUGGCUAGAGUAUUACUGAUGAAAGAAUAUUUGUCUUUUCUCUCUCUCUCUUUUGUUUUUUGGUGAAUUGAAGGGAUAACUGUGUUGAUGCUACAUUUUUUAACCACAUAACUGUAGAGUAGCUGCUGCCUUUGUUGACUACAUAUUAACACAUCUGUUCAUUUUAGCAGAGUUAAUUUCUAUAGAAUAACGAAUACUUGUUUAAACAUUUUGGGCAAAAUGGUGCACAUUCAUGAAUCACUGACAGCUGCGCACACUGCGUUUUCUUGGUUCUAAGACACACAUUUUGUUCCAUCAUCUUCGGAAUCUAAGUACACCGUUACCCUCGGUGACAGCUCACAGCUCUAAGUGGCAGAGUUUUCCAUGCGUAGUGGCACAUGAGAUAAAGACGCGUCUCACUGUCAGAGGCAUCUCAGGCUGGUGGAAAAGAAAAAGUGCGCGCGUGUGUUCGUAACCUGUGGAUAAUUUCUUGUCCACGUGGUCUGGGCUGAAGAGAAGUCACAUCAAGGAUCGUCUAGUCUUCCAUGAUACUUCCUUACAGAGGGAUUACAAGUUUCACACCCAAACUUCAGCAUGGCUCUCUUUAUUCUAGAAAGUCUUGUAUUUAAAAUAGCUGGUUCUCACUAGAUCACAAUACGCAUUUGACAGAGGAGUCCUAUUGCCUUGGACCAGAGGUGGUCCAA